UACGGAGGAUCCAAGCGUUAUCCGGAUUUAUUGGGUUUCAAGGGUGCGUCGGUGGCCUGUUAAGUCAGGGGUGAAAGACGGUAGCUCAACUAUCGCAGUGCCCUUGAUACUGAUGGGCUUGAAUAAACUAGAGGUAGGCGGAAUGUGACAAGUAGCGGUGAAAUGCAUAGAUAUGUCACAGAACACCAAUUGCGAAGGCAGCUUACUAUGGUUUUAUUGACACUGAGGCACGAAAGCGUGGGGAUCAAACAGG
rnacentral:rRNA from 1 species